GAUGAACGCUGGCGGCGUGCCUAAUACAUGCAAGUCGAGCGAACAGACGAGGAGCUUGCUCCUUUGACGUUAGCGGCGGACGGGUGAGUAACACGUGGAUAACCUACCUAUCAUACUGGGAUAACUUCGCGAAACCGUCGCUAUUACCCGAUAACCUUUUGACCUGCAUGGAUCAACACUGAUAGACGGUCUUGCUGUCACUUAUAGCUGGCUCCGCACCGCAUUAGCUAGUUUGUAAGGUAACGGAUUACCACGGCAACGAUGCGUAGCGGACCUGAGAGGGUGGUCAGCCACGCUGGAACUGAGACACGGUCAAGACUCCUACGAGAGGCAGCAGUAGGGAAUCUUACGCAAUGAGCGAAAGCAUGACGGAGCAAAGCAGCGGGAGUGAAGAAGGUCUUCGGAUCGUAAAAAUCUGUUAUUAGGGAAGAACAAAUGUGAAAGUAACUAUGAACGUCUUGACAGUACCUAAUCAGAAAGCCACGGCUAACUACGUG
rnacentral:rRNA from 1 species